rnacentral:rRNA from 1 species
AUUGAACGCUGGCGGCAUGCCUUACACAUGCAAGUCGAACGGUAACAGGUUAAGCUGACGAGUGGCGAACGGGUGAGUAAUGUAUCGGAACGUGCCCAGUCGUGGGGGAUAACUACUCGAAAGAGUGGCUAAUACCGCAUACGACCUGAGGGUGAAAGCGGGGGACCGUAAGGCCUCGCGCGAUUGGAGCGGCCGAUAUCAGAUUAGCUAGUUGGUGGGGUAAAAGCCCACCAAGGCGACGAUCUGUAGCUGGUCUGAGAGGACGACCAGCCACACUGGGACUGAGACACGGCCCAGACUCCUACGGGAGGCAGCAGUGGGGAACUUUGGACAAUGGGCGCAAGCCUGAUCCAGCCAUGCCGCGUGCAGGAUGAAGGCCUUCGGGUUGUAAACUGCUUUUGUACGGAACGAAAAGACUCUGGUUAAUACCUGGGGUCCAUGACGGUACCGUAAGAAUAAGCACCGGCUAACUACGUGCCAGCAGCCGCAGUAAUAC